GGAGCGAGAAAGACAAUAUUCCGAUUCUAGGAUAAAUAUUUCAGGCGAGGAAGCUUGGAGAAGGCGCGCGGCGAAGAGUGGGGCAAUACCGAGAUCACCAUCUCCACCAAGUAGCGUAGACGGCUUCAGCAUUGGAAAGUCGGAGACUGGCGGAUUGGAGAGGAAUGGGAUGACAGUUUACAAUCAAAGGAGCAGAUUGAAGCCAGCCUACUGAGCAAAUAUGAGGCUGCAAUGAGGAGGGAGAGAGCCCUGGCAUAUUCCUUCACUCAUCAGCAAACCUGGAAGAAUGCUGCAAGAUCUGUGAACCCAGCCUUCAUGGAUCCAAGUAA
rnacentral:misc_RNA from 1 species